GAUGAACGCUGGCGGCGUGCCUAAUACAUGCAAGUCGAGCGAACGGACGAGAAGCUUGCUUCUCUGAUGUUAGCGGCGGACGGGUGAGUAACACGUGGAUAACCUACCUAUAAGGCUGGGAUAACUUCGGGAAACCGGAGCUAAUACCGGAUAAUAUUUUGAACCGCAUGGUUCAAAAGUGAAAGACGGUCUUGCUGUCACUUAUAGAUGGAUCCGCGCUGCAUUAGCUAGUUGGUAAGGUAACGGCUUACCAAGGCAACGAUGCAUAGCCGACCUGAGAGGGUGAUCGGCCACACUGGAACUGAGACACGGUCCAGACUCCUACGGGAGGCAGCAGUAGGGAAUCUUCCGCAAUGGGCGAAAGCCUGACGGAGCAACGCCGCGUGAGUGAUGAAGGUCUUCGGAUCGUAAAACUCUGUUAUUAGGGAAGAACAUAUGUGUAAGUAACUGUGCGCAUCUUGACGGUACCUAAUCAGAAAGCCACGGCUAACUACGUG
rnacentral:rRNA from 1 species